rnacentral:tRNA from 1 species
GCGGGCGUAGCUUAAUGGUAAAGCUUCGGCCUUCCAAGCCGACGACGUGGGUUCGAUUCCCAUCACCCGCUCCA